rnacentral:lncRNA from 1 species
AUUUCAAGGUUUUCCUUUAUUUCGCUCUAUUCAUCAUUUUUCCAGGUAAUCCUUCCAGAGAACAGAGGCUCCACAUUAAGAAUACCCCAGCUGGCGACCAGAGGAUCCCAGGCAGAUGGGAAUUAAGCUGUGACUCACAGACAGUCCGUCAUCCAGCUUUGUGCCCAACAUCUCCCAUGGCUUCCUGUGAUCAGUGCGGUCCCUGGCCAGGCAGCCCCUCCCGAGCUCCUGCUGACAGCAAACGCUGUAUGAGCACGUGGUGCUCCUGGUGGCUGAGAGGCUGGGGACUGACCCAACCCUCUGCCUGUGAGACAGAAGGAAACCAGAGUGAGCACCCAGAGGGAGGCCACAUGAUGGCACCUCGAGGGGUGUGGUGAUGCCAGGUGGGACACAGGGAUGCACACUGGUAGCUGGAGCAGGAGCGUGUGUGUGUGUGUGUGUGUGUGUGUGUGUGUGUGUGUGUGUGUGUGUGUAAAGAGGCAGCCAGGAGACCAUAUCCAAGGUAAAGUUGAAGUCUGGAGCUCCUCCAAAAAAACAAGUGAGACUUCCUCCUUCAUUUCCCUUUUAUUUCACAGAUCACAAACCUAUUGGUUGGUGCUGCUCACACCUAGGAUGGGCCUUCUGUCUUCAGCAAAUCCCUGCAGCUACCCAGAACCAUGGUGAUACAAGGUGCUGUUCAUGUACCACCAACUGCCAGGUCUUGUCCACAGCCUCAGACUUCUGCUUCAAAUUGCCUGUAAGUCUUCUCCGUGUGACGCCAGUAAAAAUUUCCAAGUCAGCAUUAGUCAGCUGUCCAGGGUUGUUCCAGCAUAAAGCAGCUAACAACAAAUCCACCGCCUGUGGCCCCACCACCAUCCGGUGCCCCGGUGACCCAUCCCACUUCAGAAGUGGACACACCAAUACGGCUCCCAGCGGGCCCCUCGGGACUUGGUCUGUGCCCUGUCUUCAGGAUGCUCCAGCCACUGACAGCCCACUCAUGGUCACAUCCCCUUGCCUCGGCAGGGAGGGGGCCCUGGAAAUGCUCGCUGCAGGGGGACUAAAGACAAAACAAGGCAACAACAGCAGCCUGGCGCACACUUCUAAAGUCCUGGGACUAACUCUAACUCGGCUUCAUCAUGUCCCACAUCCCUCCUCCCGCUUAUGCACCACACUUACACAUACCCGUGCUCACAAUCAGCUGGCGGUCACACUGACGACCUGCCCACAGUCACACUCACACUGUGGUCACCUACCCCCGCCUGCACAUCAGCAGUGCCCAGCAGUGAGGGUGCUGGUACAGCCCUGCCUGUCUCAUCAGAUAAUAAAGUGGAAAAAGGCCUUCCUGCUUCCCAGGAGUUUUUGCUCUGUCUUUAGUACCACUUCUGCCCACUGA